rnacentral:rRNA from 1 species
GAUGAACGCUAGCUACAGGCUUAACACAUGCAAGUCGAGGGGGAACGGCAUUAAGUGCUUGCACUUUUUGGACGUCGACCGGCGCACGGGUGAGUAACGCGUAUCCAACCUUCCCAUGACUAAGGGAUAACCUGCCGAAAGGCAGACUAAUACCUUAUGGUCUUCACUGACGGCAUCAGAUGUGAAGUAAAGAUUUAUCGGUUAUGGAUGGGGAUGCGUCUGAUUAGUUAGUUGGCGGGGUAACGGCCCACCAAGGCAACGAUCAGUAGGGGUUCUGAGAGGAAGGUCCCCCACAUUGGAACUGAGACACGGUCCAAACUCCUACGGGAGGCAGCAGUGAGGAAUAUUGGUCAAUGGGCGAGAGCCUGAACCAGCCAAGUAGCGUGCAGGAUGACGGCCCUAUGGGUUGUAAACUGCUUUUGUAUGGGGAUAAAGUCAAUCACGUGUGAUUGUUUGCAGGUACCAUACGAAUAAGGACCGGCUAAUUCCGUGCCAGCAGCCGCGGUAAUACGGAAGGUCCGGGCGUUAUCCGGAUUUAUUGGGUUUAAAGGGAGCGUAGGCUGGAGAUUAAGUGUGUUGUGAAAUGUAGACGCUCAACGUCUGACUUGCAGCGCAUACUGGUUUCCUUGAGUACGCACAACGUUGGCGGAAUUCGUCGUGUAGCGGUGAAAUGCUUAGAUAUGACGAAGAACUCCGAUUGCGAAGGCAGCUGACGGGAGCGCAACUGACGCUGAAGCUCGAAGGUGCGGGUAUCGAACAGG